GUCCUACGGGAGGCAGCAGUGGGGAAUAUUGCACAAUGGGGGAAACCCUGAUGCAGCGACGCCGCGUGAGUGAAGAAGUAUUUCGGUAUGUAAAGCUCUAUCAGCAGGAACGAGACAAGACGGUACCUGACUAAGAAGCCCCGGCUAACUACGUGCCAGCAGCCGCGGUAAUACGUAGGGGGCAAGCGUUAUCCGGAUUUACUGGGUGUAAAGGGAGCGUAGGCGGUGCAGCAAGUCAGAAGUGAAAGCCCGGGGCUCAACUCCGGGACUGCUUUUGAAACUGUUGAACUAGAUUGCAGGAGAGG
rnacentral:rRNA from 1 species